rnacentral:rRNA from 1 species
GAUGAACGCUGGCGGCGUGCUUAACACAUGCAAGUCGAACGAAGCACUUUAUUUGAUUUCCUUCGGGACUGAUUAUUUUGUGACUGAGUGGCGGACGGGUGAGUAACGCGUGGGUAACCUGCCUUGUACAGGGGGAUAACAGUUGGAAACGGCUGCUAAUACCGCAUAAGCGCACAGCAUCGCAUGAUGCAGUGUGAAAAACUCCGGUGGUAUAAGAUGGACCCGCGUUGGAUUAGCUAGUUGGUGAGGUAACGGCCCACCAAGGCGACGAUCCAUAGCCGACCUGAGAGGGUGACCGGCAACAUGGGGACUGAGACACGGCCCAAACUCCUACGGGAGGCAGCAGUGGGGAAUAUUGAACAAUGGGCGAAAGACUGAGGCAGCAACGCCGCGUGAGCGAAGAAGUAUUUAGGUAUGUAAAGCUCUAUCAGCAGGGAAGAUAAUGACGGUACCUGACUAAGAAGCACCGGCUAAAUACGUG